UAGAUGCUCUAAGGUAUGUUG
rnacentral:misc_RNA from 1 species